rnacentral:rRNA from 1 species
UACGUAGGGGGCAAGCGUUAUCCGGAUUUACUGGGUGUAAAGGGAGCGUAGACGGUGAGGCAAGUCCGAUGUGAAAACCCGGGGCUCAACCCCGGGAUUGCAUUGGAAACUGUUUGACUCGAGUACUGGAGGGGUAAGCGGAAUUCCUAGUGUAGCGGUGAAAUGCGUAGAUAUUAGGAGGAACACCGGUGGCGAAGGCGGCUUACUGGACAGUAACUGACGUUGAGGCUCGAAAGCGUGGGGAGCAAACAGG